rnacentral:lncRNA from 1 species
GGCGGUCGCUCGGCUAUGACGUGCCCUGCUCCAGCAUAUCCGGCCCGGCCAUCCCGGCGGGUCCCGCCCGCUGUCUCGGCCUUCCCGGCGCUUCCCAUGGCCCUGCCCGCCGUCCACAGGUGCCUCCAACUCAGUGAUGAAAAUGAACAGUUAGUCAAGAAGGUGAAAAGACUACACAUAAAAAAUAAGGAGCUAGAAAAGAAUCUGGGUCAGAUCCAAGAAAAGUUGCAUCUGCAGCAGUUAAUGCAUGACUGUGGCACAAGCAGAGAUGUUCAGGUUCAAACAGAAACCCAUUUAUGGCAUAAGGGUGGAGACAGCAAGGAUUUUGUUCUAGAGUGUGACAGUGUCAGACUGCUUCAUAUGUAUAAUGAGCUACAGAAACGUUACGUUAGAGAAAGCAAAAAAAACAAGGAGCAAAGUGAAGCAAUUAAAAAUCUCACUAUUAAAAUUCAUGAGCUAGAGCAUAAUCUUCAAGAGCAGAGGCAAAGAAUUGAACAACUGGAAUGUAAAAAGGUUUCUUGGAAAACUAAUGCUGUUUCUGAAAAAAGAAGUCGAACCUCAGAGGGAGGAAUAACUUCUCACAGGGACAUUUCUGAAGAGAAGGAAUCCUGUUGCAGUAAAUAUUUAGGAAUUUUUUGAAGAGGUAGAAGAUCUAAAGCAUGCUGUACAGGAAUGUCUGAAACUGAACUAUGAGUACGAAAAAUGCUUGAAACAAAUAAGUGUAAUGUAUGGGCUUCCUUUUACAGCACAUUUGUAAAUACUGGUUAAUUUAAUGGCAAGUAGAGUUUCCACUUUUUUUUUAUGCUUACUGCAGCAUUUAAACCUACCAUGGCUUAAGUGGUACCUCAUUUUGAUAAUGUUAUGGAUUCACUAAUAUGAUCCUAACAAGCUUCUCUGAAAUGUUUUUGUAUUUUGUGCCUUUGAUUUUUUGUUUAUAUGGUUUUUAAAUAAACUGUGGUCUGUAUAACUUCA